CACAAAGUGCCCAAACACUAUAUGGAAAUUAUUCCUUCAAAGUCACAUCCAGAGAAUCAUGUCACUCUUGUGCUGAAGAACCUCUUCACACAAAUUAGUAAGGGCCUCAAAGAACUUUUAUGUUGGCAGAUGCUGAUUGAUCUAAUCUCGGCUUGUGGAGGACGAACCUCUUGCAUACACUUACCCAAAUAAUUUACUGUGAUU